rnacentral:lncRNA from 1 species
AAGAAAAUAAAAUGUGAAAAAAUAAAAAUCAGAUGUAGAAAAAUAAAAGAGAAUUUUAGAAAUUAUUUUGGGAUUUUUUGGAUGAAAAAUGAAUUUACUAUGAAUUGUCAAAGAAAAUGCAAUUUAAAAUAAAAAAUAAAAUAAAAAAAAUCAGAAAAAAUACAGAGCGUUUGAUCUGACCUCAUUAAUUGAUGUGGUAAAUCCAAC